rfam:Glarea lozoyensis 74030 unplaced genomic scaffold M7I_scaffold27, whole genome shotgun sequence.
AUUCGGCAUGAUAACUAGAUAACGGUCUCGAUCCUAUACGACCGAAGUCCUUUAAGUUGCCGAUAUAUUAACCUGCGAGGAUCUUACACGUUCUCUGAUUUUCUUCCUGACGUUACACGUUUAAUCUUUCGCAACAUAC